GCCCAGGUGGUGGAACUGGUAGACACGCUAUCUUGAGGUGGUAGUGACGAAUGUCGUGGGAGUUCGAGUCUCCCCCUGGGCACCA
rnacentral:tRNA from 3 species